UACGUAGGGGGCGAGCGUUGUCCGGAAUCAUUGGGCGUAAAGCGCGUGUAGGCGGCUCGGUAAGUCUGCUGUGAAAGUCCAGGGCUCAACCCUGGGAUGCCGGUGGAUACUGUCGAGCUCGAGUCCGGAAGAGGCGAGUGGAAUUCCUGGUGUAGCGGUGAAAUGCGCAGAUAUCAGGAGGAACACCAAUGGCGAAGGCAGCUCGCUGGAACGGUACUGACGCUGAGGCGCGAAAGCGUGGGGAGCAAACAGG
rnacentral:rRNA from 1 species